rnacentral:rRNA from 1 species
GAUUAACGCUAGCGGCAGGCUUAAUACAUGCAAGUUGUACGGGAUUAUUGGUAGCAAUACUGAUAUGAGAGUAGCGCACGGGUGCGUAACACGUAUGCAACCUACCUUUAACUGGGGAAUAGCUCACCGAAAGGUGAAUUAAUACCGCAUAAAAAUCAAAGAAGGACAUCCUUUAAUGAUUAAACCUCCGGGGGUUAAANAUGGGCAUGCGUCCGAUUAGCUAGUUGGCGGGGUAACAGCCCACAAGGCAACGAUCGGUAGGGGUCUGAGAGGAUGAUCCCCACACUGGUACUGAGACACGGACCAGACUCC